rnacentral:piRNA from 1 species
UAUUGGAAUCUCCAGAAGAGGAUCUGGUA